rnacentral:rRNA from 1 species
GAUGAACGCUGGCGGCGUGCCUAACACAUGCAAGUCGUACGAGAAAUCCUGGGCAACUGGGAGAGUAAAGUGGCGCACGGGUGAGUAACGCGUGGGUAACCUGCCCUUGAAUUGGGGAUAACUCCGCGAAAGCGGGGUUAAUACCGAAUGAUAUUCCGAUUCCUCCGGGAGUUGGAAUCAAAGGUGGCCUCUGCAUGCAAGCUACUGUUCAUGGAUGGGCCCGCGUACCAUUAGCUAGUUGGUAGGGUAACGGCCUACCAAGGCAUCGAUGGUUAGGUGGUCUGAGAGGAUGGCCAGCCAAACUGGAACUGAGACAAGGUCCAGACUCCUACGGGAGGCAGCAGUGGGGAAUCUUGCGCAAUGGGGGAAACCCUGACGCAGCAACGCCGCGUGGGUGAUGAAGGCCUUCGGGUCGUAAAGCCCUGUCAGGUGGGAAGAACCGUAUCGGUGCAAACAGUGCCGAUGCUUGACGGUACCACCGGAGGAAGCACCGGCUAACUCCGUGCCAGCAGCCGCCGUAAAAC